GUGGUAGUGGUAGUGGUUAAGAUGUUGGGCUACUGAUCGGAAGGUCAUGAGUUCAAACCUCAGCACCACC